rnacentral:tRNA from 1 species
GUCCUCGGUGGCUCAGUCGGAUAGAGCAUCUGCCAUAUAAGCAGGAGAUCUCGGGUUCAAGUCCCGGCUGGGACA